GAGUCAGUCAGCUUCCUGUUGCCUACAAGAUAUAUGACUAGCAGCUACAUUGCCUGUACACUGCCAUGCUCCCUGCCAUGAUGAUAAUGGACUGAACUUCUGAAACUAACCAACCACAUGGAUCUGUCAAAAACCUCUAAUAGACCUAGAAGCAACAUAGAUUUCCCCAGAGACAAUCUUUGGCUAUCUUCCCAGGACAGAGUUUCUCAAUGUAGCUUUGGAGCCUGUGCUGGAAGUCGCUCUGAAGACCAAGCUGGCCUUGAACUCACAGAGAUCUGCCUGCCUUUUUUUUCUGAGUACUUUGGAUUAAAGGAGUGUGUCACUAUUAAAAAAAAAAAAGAGCUUAUCUCCAACUGCCUGGACAGCUAUCCAGACUACACACUAAGGCUCUGGCAGCAUGGAAGAUAAAGGACUAUGGACAAUUGAUAGGAUGUUUGUGGGAGCAGCUGCAAUCUCAUACAACAGCUUAUGUAUCAAAUAUAAGUAAACUCACUUGAAGAAUGUGAGGAGGAAAACCAGAAAUAAAAGAAGUAUGGCAUUGAAAGCAGCAGAAAGCUGCUGACAGUGGGCUUUCCGAAAAAGAAAAGCAGUCAAAGGAUGAUGCAUUGUUGCAGAGCAGAGCAAGGUGCAGGGGAAAGUCCCAGGGAAAUGUGCAAGAUUCAGCACGCUUACCACUGCAGAAAAAAAAAAAAUGCCAAUGAGCAAUGUGUUGAUCAAAGUUCUGAGGAGGAGAGAUGCUCAAAUAUUUACUCAGAGCACUUCGCCGAAAGGUACCCAAGGGUGCUCCAAGGUGGCCACCAACUGACUUUUGGCAGAGACAGCAUUUCCUCUGUUCUAAGGGACCAUUCAUUCCCACCUGGCGCUUCCUCACACUCCCUCCCUCCUGCUCUAGCGCUCCUUAGGAAGAUGUUUUAUGAACUGUGUGCUUGAAUAUUUUUGUGCUUGCAGCAAAGAAUGUUGUUUUCCUAAAUCAAGAAGGAGAACAGAAACUUUGAAAACUGGGCUUCUCAGCCUCAGGAAUGCUGCUGCUCAGACACUGUCCUGGAAAGGACUACAAAUGAUACAGCUCCACACCUGGAGACAGACACCCUACUGUGAUGCCCACGCACCAUCUGCUGCCUCUGUUUCUCCACUUGCUGGCUUUGGGAAACCUUUUCUCAUCUGUUAAUGCAAAUUCUGUCUGAACCAAGGGAAGAGCUGUCUUGUCUACCACCUGGAUCACCUGGCAACAGCAAAGGUAUCUCAGAAGAGCUCAUGUGAACCGACCUUCAUCAACCUUACUUUAAAACAGUGGAUUAGUAGUUCAUUUCAUGACAAAAACAAACCAACAUUCCCUUGAACAGAGUAUUUAUAUAGAAAGAGUAAUGUAACCAAUCUCAAAAUAUUGG
rnacentral:lncRNA from 1 species